GGGGCCAUCGGAAGGCUUGGGCGGGGCCAGCGGGGCGAAGCCGCUUCCUUUAUCUUUGUCAAUCUGCGCCUAAAUUCCGUCUGCUUCAGCCAUGCCCUUUUCCGCGACUUCCUCUGCUGCAGUGCCUGUGUUGCUCAGACAAGCCCUCAGGAAGGUGGGGAUGCAGUAACUAGCAACGCCUGGGUCCUAUCAGAACAGUCACCGUAACAGUCAAUGACCUUAAGGGUCACCAGGGUAACUGCCGCCUUUUAUAGACGAGUCUGGAGAGUCUGGUGGUUUGCCCGCCACACUGCAAGUGGGAGCCAGCAACAGGAGGACACUAUUUUGCCACUAAGCCAAGCUGCUAGCAAGAAAGAGCCUUGCAGCACAGGGGUUUCUGGGUGGCUCUGUCAGUAAAGCGCCCAGCUUAGGCUCAGGUCAUGAUCUCACAGCUCGUGGGUGGCUCGUGGGUUACAGCUCCGGAUCUGGCUGUGUGCUGCCAGCGUAGAGCCUCUUUGGAUCCUCUCUGUCCCUCCGAGCUCACGCCCUCGCUCAAAAAUUAAAAAAAAAAAAAAAAGUUAAAAAAAUGUUUUCAGAACCUUGCAGCACAGCUAGAAUGUAAACUGAUACCAAACAAACCAUUACUUGUCUCCACUGAUGUUUUACAAUGUUGUUUGCUGCGCCGGUUGUCAGUGUGUUAUCUCUAGCUCCGCGUUCACUCUCAUUCCAUGCACUGCAGGAUGGAGCUGGGCCCUCCGAGCGCUCUUCCCCUGCCAGGUGGGCCAUUGCAGAGGUGUGCAGGGGAAGAAACCCCCUGGGAGGCAGUGCGGGAGGAAGGGGCUUUGCUGCCCGGCUCCAGUGAGUUCCCUUGACAGCUGCAGAACGAGAGGCCUCCCCGGAGCCCACCUCCCCGCACCAAGGACGGCUUCUUCUAGCUCCAGGUUCCGCGAGCACCCGACUCCGCGGUACAGGCUGCCAGCACGCUGCUCCAGCUCCUGCCCUAUAGCCGCAAAGGCGCGCCCCUGAACAGCUUUCCUGGCACUCCGGAGGGACUGCCAGACGUCCUGCCAGCGCUUCUCCGCCAUUUGGUGAGCUGUAGCUAGGCUAUCUCCAAGCAAGUUGGACCUCAGCCCUGGGGCUACUGCUCCUGCAGCGAUUCUGACACCAGCUGUGUGACACCAGAUCCUGACACCCAGCAAUUCUGUGACAUCGGCUGGGUAUCCCACUGUAACUCACUCUGGCACUAUCCACCUGGAGACGGCAUCAGAUCCACAGGUGGAGGGCUUCAUCCUGCAAGACCCCCUACACUUCAGACGCCAACCGCGAGUCCAAAGUGGUAUCUGUGCUUCUGACCAAUUGGCUAUGAAUAUGAAUUGGGGUUCCCAUGACCCUCCCUCAGGUGCAAUUAACUUGUUAGAGCGGCUCACAGAACUCAGAGAAAGAGUUCAAAGACUGUUUACCAACUUAUUAUAAAAGGAUAUGACAAAAGCUACAGGUAAGCCUCCAGAUGAAAGAGAUGUCUGGACCAAGGUAUAGGGACGGACACACGGGGGUUCCAUGUCUCUCCAGGUCACCAAUCCACCAGCACCACCAUGUGCUCACCAACCCAGGAGCUCUUUGAACCCAGGGAAAUAAUGAGGACCCACCAAAUGAGAGCAAGAAAAGGCUAUUUGUUCAGAGCCUGCGAUAGUGAGGGAGUCACUCCAUCACCUGGCCUGGUAGAGGCCCAGAGGCAGCAAGGGAGGGGGAGAGCUUCAUGGUGGAAAAGGGGGACUCAGGGGUGCCCUGAUGGGGGCUGUGGGCCUGAGGGAGCCAGAGAUGAACUCUAGAGAAGUGGGGCAUCUCCUGUGUUCGAUUUUCUCUGGUUGGUCCUGAGUUAGACCCGGAAACAAAAAUUAGGUAAGAUGUCAGUUAUUGACCGAGUCCUGGCCAUCUGGCUUAUUUGGACUGUCAGAGGGUAUUGUAUGGCUUUCUGGGUUGUCACCAGAGCCAGCAGUCCGAAUUGCCCCAAGUCUGACUUCGAGCAGCCGGCUUCCUGGGCGGGCUUCUGCAGAGGAGGCAUUGGUUUUGGGCGGGCUGCUGCAGGCCGUGGGCCUAUUUUCACAAAUGGUCUGGCCACUGGCCACUUGUAUAUUCAGUUUCUCAUAAUAGGCACUGAUGAGCCAGUGCAGUGUUAACAGAAAACAUUUCUCCCAAGGUCACAACUCAGCUGUGAAGUGUCCUGACAGCCUCUUCCUUCUUACCAGUAACCUCCAUAGCCUGCUCUGUGGCCCCACCUCAUGAACAAAAAUACCUAAGACCCAGUUACUAAGUGGUCCACACUUUGUGACAGCAACCAUCUGAAGAUGGCCCUCACUUCCCCUCUCCCCUCCUCAGAAUUAUUCAGUGCAACCCCAAACCUUACAAAAUUCCCUCUCCAGUCUCCUCAUGAGACACAAUGGAGAAAUCUCUAGGGUUCUCUCUUUGCAACAGGUUAAUAAACCAGACCUGGUCUAUUAGGUUUAUCCCUAGUGGACUUGACUGUUGGGCAUUUUCACCCAUCUCAAGUAUCUUCUCCUCCACUCAAUCUUUGGAUGCAGUUUUUCCCUCCUCCAGCCCCAGAAUACUUUGUGUGCCCUGGUGCUACAGUUAAUUAGCUAGAGUUAAUGUUAGGACAUUUCCUCUACUAGACUGUAAGGCCCUUUAGAGACUGUGUGGGAUUCCUCUUUGUGUCCGAGUUCUAAUGAGACAAAUGAUGUGCACCUGGCCAGACAAAGAUGGACACAGUCUCCCCUGGCUAAGCUCUCGAGUGUUCAAGAAAGCCCUGAACAAGUGAAGAUUUAUCUUCAACUGACCCUCUCAAAGACAGUUUUCUAUGGACUCAUGUCUUGGCUAGAUUCCAGCUAAUUGGUGUGGGUUUUGUUUGUUUGAAGUUUAUUUAUUUUGACAAAGAGAAAGAGCGUGUGCACACACACACACGCACACACAUGCACACACAUGCACACACGGCACUUGAGCAGGGGAGAAGCAGAGAGAGAGAGGGAGAGCGAUAAUCCCAAGCAGGCUCUGCACUGUCAGUGCAGAGCCCGACUGGGGGCUCAAACUCACGAACUGGGAGAUUGUGACCUGAGCCAAAACCGAGAGUCAGAUGCUCAACAGAGAGAGCCACCCAGGUGCCCCCCCCUUUUUUUAAGUGAAUCUUUUCACUGUUCCGAAGGCUGACUUCAGUGUUUUCUUUCUUGUCCCUCUCCCCCAUCCAGGAUCUCCCUCAUGAGACUAAAGAGCACAUAACUAACGAGAGGUCUCCAAGUUGUCCUUGGACACAUGCACCUCAUACCAUGCUGUGCCCAUGACAAAUCCAGUGGGUUGAUUUACUCAGCAAAGAAAAGAAUUUCAACUCACUUCGAGUGAAUUCUCUUUGUAAUUUCAAGUUUCCAGGCCUGUAAAUGAUAAAGGACCAAACCAACUCUAGAUUGUGACAGUCCCUGUGGAGUACAGCUACCCUGCGUGGCCUCCUGUGGAAGAGACCCCGCCAGCUCCCCGUUGACAUUUCCUUGGCUGUAACUCCUUAUGUAUUCUUCCAAAGCCAAAUUGGUAAUAUUCUUUUCCAGGCAUAUAUCCCAGUUGGCUUGGAAGAAUAGUGGAGUUAUUCUUUGGAGAUGUGGAUUUGAAGAAAGUUCUUUUCGAUAGUCUGUUAAGUCGUUAAAAUGAUGCUGAGAGGUCUGUCUCCCUUUGUGCCUGUCUCAUGACCCUCCCUGUACAACUCAAGUGAGCUUUGGUUCUAUGGUAUUUAAUGUUUCGGCACCCUUUUUGUUUUAGGUGUAUUUAUUUAUUUGGCGGGGGGCAGAGAUAGAAAGAAUCCCAAGUAGGCUUAGAGCCAUCCGUGCAGAGCCCAAUAUGGGUCUCAAACUCACUAACUGGGAGGUCAUGACCUGAACCGAAGUCAGAUGCUUAACUGACUGAGCCACCCAGAAGCCACUGGCACUUUCUUAUUCUUUGGAAAACAGUUUCCAUAGAGCAUCGUCUCCUCUCUAGUGAAUUUUGUUAUGAUUUUAGAAAGAAGCUCUUCUCUUUCCGUCCUGGGGAGAGCCCACCUUUUUUGGUCACACAUAUACACCCACACCCUUACACCGUUUCUCUAUCUCGUGGCAGACUCACGGAAGGCAAACAGCACCAAACUCUUGAGCUAGAAAAACCUAGCCUUCCAGGAGAUCAUGAGCAAGCCUCCUAACCUCUUUCGAACUCCGUUCUCGCCUUGCGAGCCUGAUCCCUGAUCCCAGACCCCCGAACGUGCAGUUCGUGCCCCCGGUCCCCUCGGAGAAGGCCCUACAAUCUCCGACCAGCCGCACCCUUUCCGGCUUCAGUACCUUCCCCGGCGCGGCCCUCCCAACCCAGUCAAGCGCUCCACAAAAGCAGAAGAGAAGGAAAUACUUUUAUUUCAGCGAAAGAAUAGACCGGGACGGGCUGCGCACCACGGGCAAACCGCUCAUGGGAGGCGACGACAAAGAAAGCGCUCUCGCGCUCAGCUCAGCGGGACCGGCCCUGUGCGCCGGCCGUGCGCCCUCCCCGCGCCGGGACCCCGGAUCCCUGAGCCGUCAGGGACACCACUCGAGCGGAGAGGGCCGUGAGGCGGAAAAGGGGUGCGCACCCCGAUGGGAGCGGACCGGACGCGGGCCCCCCACUCCACGCCCCCGCGGCCCCGGACAGCCGUUACCCGACUUCCGCACGCGUCCUCCCGGUGGCCGACUUCCGGCGCGCUGCGUGACGUCAUUGCGGCCGGCUUCCGGCGCGCUGACUUGUGUUCGGCGCUGCCAUGUGUCGCUGGCGACAGGAGGCUGCCGGGGGCCCUGGGCAUCCGAGUCCAUCGCGGGUACCCGGCGGCGCUCGCGCCCUGCUAAGGCCAGAGGAGGAUCGGCCGUGGGGGCAGCGCCGCGGGGAUGGGGUCGCGGCCGGGGGCGGCGUCCCGGCGCCGGCUGACCGCGUGUCCUCCUCGCGGCGCUGCCUCGGGGAAGUGACGCCGCUCACGCCGCUGCUCCCCGGCCGACGGCGCCCGCCACCCCGCUUUCACCGGAAGCCCUUGCGGAAUCCGUCGAGUGUGCCCGGGGGUCUCGGCCCGCCGUUCCGGAGACUGAUCGCAGCUGGGGAGUACUUGCCGGGAAGACUGGCAGGAGGGCAGCUCUGGAUGCCAGACCCAGAGGGAGGAGUGGAAUCUGGAAGCGGGUUGAGGCUUUCAGCAGACUUGGGAUCUGCCUCUUCAGUCCACGUGCAGACGCUGACCACACCGGCCUCGAGGACACACUCAGUCUCAUGUUUCUGCGGUCCUGUGAGCAAGGCGUUGACUGAACUCUGGCCCAUCUUCAGAUGUUCAAAUAGCAGCCAGCUUUGGGACAUACAAGGGAGUGCCUCCCUCUGGGGCAGAGAGCAGUGUGUCAGCCACCGCAAUCCCAAGACGCAAGAGCCCUGAGAGAUGGCCUCGGUGGCUGCCAAGCCAUUCCUGGCAUCUGCAGUGCAGGCCUCCAAGUCCCUCCUCCUCCUGCCUGAAGGUGUGGCCUCACCACAGACAUGCCCUUGUGCUGCUCCCAUUCUCAAAGCAGGUUUGGAUGCCGCUGCGCUGUCUGCUUCCAAAACAAGGCUCGUCGCUGUCAUUGUGACCCCGGCCCCUCUAACAGCUCCUGUGUGGGGAGAUGGGGAUAGUUAAUAAAAUCUUUUCAGUGUGUGGUUCA